rnacentral:rRNA from 1 species
UCAGGUGGCUAUUGCUGCGGGGUUCCACCUCUUCCCCAUUCCGAACAGAGAAGUUAAGCCCGCCCGCGCCGAUGGUACUGCAAUGCAAUGCGGGAGAGUAGGUCGCUGCCUUCU